GUGGGGAGGCAUAGUUCUUAGUCAAUGCCAGCAAUAGCCAGCCGAGGAUACAGGGGGACGGCUCCCCGCAAAAUGAUGUCAGGCUGUGGGUGUAGGGCUGAGAAGCAGGUGUGGUGGAGAUGACUAUAGCCCUGGUGUCUGCCAGCCUCUGGAACGGGAGCCACAAGAGCCAUCUAGUCAGGCACCUAGGACUGUGCCAGGUAAGGAAACUUCUUGGCCUGUCUAGCGUCUGCAGUGGGGACCUGUCAUCGUGUGUUCAUAGCUUGAGCCAAUGGAGUCUGCUACACAGAAACAAGACGAAGCUUGCUGGGCAUUUAGUGGUGCAUGCCUACAGGUAUGGGGAGUUGACUGACUCUGGGAAAAGCUGUUGGCUAGUGCAGGUGACAAAGGAAGACUUCUGGGCACUUAGCAGAGCUGCAGUCCUGGCUGGUCGGAGGAUCAGGACUACUUGGCCUAAGACCCGAAGAGACCCCAGGGCAGAAGCCAUUUCCUGCCUACCCCAAAUGAUGGUGACUCCAACUUCCCAUCAGAUCUGGCGAUGAUCUACCUCCGUUUCAAAAGCAAGCCAAAGAGGUCUCUCACUGAAUCUGGAACUCACUGCUGAGCAAGACUAGCUGGCCAGUGAACCCCAGUGGAUCCUCUGUCCCUGCCUCUGCAGAGCUAGGACUACAGGCAUGUACCACCACGCCCUGCUUUACAUGGUGCCUGGAGCCAGGCCUGUGCAACGGGGCUUUACUGACAGCCUGGCCUCAGGGUCUCAGCCAAGCGGCUGUCUAGUUCAGAGAAUGAGGACAAGGGGACCUUCCUGGGUGUUUGCAGUGACAGUGCAAGGCUUCUGAGUAGGGUGGACAAGCCACUUGAGUGAUCAGCGCGGCUCUGGCCCCUGGGGCCCACUGCGCACUUGCCUGGGUAGUAGCGGCAGCAGGCUGCAGGUAGUCGCUGGGACUGACGGCAGCAGUGGCAGCCAUGCUCAUCUGUGGAUCUGUUGGGAGGAAGAUGGAGCAGCACGUAAGACCCCUGAAGAGAACCCAAGGCCCCUUCCCUUGGCGUUUCUUUUUGCCUCUCUUGCUGUUUCUCCGAGAAGUUUAACAGCUCGAGCAUCACAGCCCGUGCUUGUCAGGGGCGACCGUCUCCUUUGCCCACAAUCUAUUUGAGCCAGGCCUGCCUUCACCACAUUGUCCCCACAGCUGGGACACUCCAGGACAGAAAGAAGACUGGGAGACUCCAGGACAGAAAGAAGACUGGGACACUCCAGGACAGAAAGAAGACUGGGACACUC